rnacentral:rRNA from 1 species
UCGGGUAACUCUUUAUUGGAUGUUCAUCCUACUUGGAUAUCUGAGUAAUUCUAGAGCUAAUACAUGCAAUUCGGUUCCAACCGCGUGAGCGGGAAGAACUCUUUUAUUACAUCAAAACCGAUCGGUCCGUCGUUCCGCGUCGGACCGUCCGAUUGGUGACUCUGGAUAACUUUGGGCUUUUUUUAUGGCCUCGAGCCGGCGACGUAUUUUUCAAGUGUCCGCCCUAUCAACUUUCGAUGGACGUGAUAUGCCUACCACGGUCGUAACGGGUAGCGGGGAAUCAGGGUUCGAUUCCGGAGAGGAGCCAUGAAACACGGCUACCACAUCCCAAGGAAGGCAGCAGGCGCGCAAAUUACCCACUCCUGGAACGGGGAGGGUAGUGACCAAAAAUAACAAUUACGGGCUCUCUUUUCGAGGCUCCGUAUUGGAAUGACUACACCUUAAAUCCCUUAACGAGUACCUUAUU